AAGGCCCGGCUGACUCAUCUCCACAAGAGAGGCUGUGACUUCAUCUGCUCAUCUGGCAAAGGGAUCAUAAUGGCAACAACAGGCCUGUGAUCCCCUAGCCACAGCCUGAAAUUCACUCACAUUCAUGAAGCUCUGAAAACGGAAGGUUUUUCAAAACUGGUCAACAGUGGAACCUGAUUCAAAUGGGGGAGGAAAAACUGUCAUACACUGAAGGAGAUAUAAAAGCUGAAUCAACUAAAUACAGUGUGGACGUUGUCUGAAAUCUAAUUUGAAGAAUCUAAAGAACAGAACGGCAUUUUGAGACAAUCAUGGAACAUUAAACAUGAAAGAGGGAUUACACAAAAAUGUAUAAGACAUGUGAAAAAUAAUGCUUAAUAUUUUAUGAAGCUGGAACAGACACCUCAAGACACCCGUGACCUCAGUUCAAGACUUGCUACUCUUCUCAGAGCAAAAGUAUGUCCUGACAGAAAUCUUCAUCUGGGCCUUCCUGCUCAUUUUGGGUGCUGGAGUCCAGGCACUCUUGAACCUCUAAAAACACAACGAGGAGGAGACUGAGACAUUGAAAUUGUAAGCUACUUGCUCAGGGACCCAGGGAGAAGGAGCCAAGGGGGCGAGAAACUAGGUACUAACAGAAGGAUAGUCCUGUGGUUCCUGGUGUGCUAUCUGUACAUGUGAUCAUUUUUCUCCUACUCAAGAAAACACACCAGAAUGCAAGUCAGUGAAUUUCUGUAAAGAGAUCAUCUUGAAUCUGCUUCCAUUCAUUAAAAAAUUUAUCAGCAUUGA